AGCAACGCCGCGUGAGUGACGAAGGCCUUCGGGUCGUAAAGCUCUGUCAUUGGGGACGAACGACCGCAUCAGGAAAUGGGUGCGGAGUGACGGUACCCGAGAAGGAAGCCACGGCUAACUACGUGCCAGCAGCCGCGGUAAUACGUAGGUGGCGAGCGUUGUCCGGAAUUAUUGGGCGUAAAGCGCGCGCAGGUGGGAUUUUAAGUCCAUUCUGAAAGUUCGGAGCUCAACUCCGUGAUGGGAUGGAAACUGGGAUUCUUGAGUACCGGAGAGGAAAGCGGAAUUCCCCGUGUAGCGGUGAAAUGCGUAGAUAUGGGGAGGAACACCAGUGGCGAAGGCGGCUUUCUGGACGGUGUCUGACACUGAGGCGCGAAAGCCA
rnacentral:rRNA from 1 species